CUGGUGAGGAUUAUAUUUAAGACCUAAAUAUUAACUACUUCUUAUCUAACCAUUUUUAUGUUUAUUUAGCUUAGGAUUUGGAUUCUCGAUUGCUAAUAAGUGCAACACAUCAGCAGUAUGAAGUACUUUCAUUGGAGUGUUUUCACUGAAGUCUAGAAUGAAAUUUAUUCAUCAAAUAAAACAAGUCAACAUGCUGCCAAGUAUUUUAGGCAAGAAUAUUAACUGUUGUUUGGAAAAUUAAUAAUGUUUCUAAUGUUAAUUUGGUAUUUUGCUAGGAUAUGCACUGUAACGUGUAUUUCAGAAGCAGCUCUCUGGCUCAUUCUGAGGAGGUGGUGAUGUGGCAGCUGCUGAGCAGAGCAGGGGGAGCCAGGACCUUGGGCUGCCUGCUCUGUGUGGAAGCCCAAGAAGUACUUGUGCGGGCAGGUAGGACUGAUGAAGUCCAGCACACAGGUAACCCUUAGUCUUUUCUUUUCCCUGAGCAUUGAGCCUGAAAACACGGGGCUUUUCUGCACUCUGCAUCCCUCCUGCAUUCUGUUACAUUUGGGCAAUGUUCCUGCCCCCUCAUAGCAAAAUUUUGUCUCCACUGCUGAGAAGUGCUGAACCAUCUUUGCCUUACCUUCAUUAUUGGUUUAUGGUUCAUUGGUUUAUGGUCUAAGCUAUAGUCUGAUUAUGGAAUCCUUAAAAACAUUACACAAAGGAGACAGAAAAAAGCCAUGUGUGAAUAUGGGGGAAAACCACUGACAACAAACAAGUGUCUUCAACUAGUAGGAGAUGGUAAUUACUUUUUAAGCUAAAACUUACAUGUUUUUUCCAAAAUAUUCAUUAAUAAGUUAUUGAAGCUCCUUUUGUAGGAUAAAGCCUUUAUAAAUACUGCAUGAUGACUUAGCUCAAUUUACAAAAAUAUUUGCAGGAAACUAUUUGAUUUGUAAGUCUAAUGUCAUUAAAUUUGCAAAUGGAAUAAAAAAGGGAAAUAAUGGGAAGAAAACCUAGUCUUUCCACUAGUUUAAGCUGUUCAAGAAUUAAUUGAUAUGUGUUUCUGAGAAUUUUUUAGGUAUAUAAUGAAAUAUAUUGAGUAGUGUAGAUGUUUGACAAAUGUCUACUUUCCUCUUAAAAGUUCAGACACAAAUAUUACAUGAUAAUUUCUGAGUCUGUCCAAAACUCUAUUAUCAUAACAGCUUCUUGGAAAAAAAAAAGGGAGAUUAUAUUAGGACUGAUUUUAGCUAUGAAGCUAAAGUGUAGACACAGUAAUACAAAUGCAAGCCAUGUUCUUUUUGAUCUGGAGUGUCACCUCGGACAUAGCAUUGCACUGGUGGCUGGUGUUCUUUCUGUUUACUGUCUUGGGUUUUUCAGGGCACAUGCAAGGGCUUUGGUCUGACUGCUGCUCAGAUAAGAAAAAAAUACCAUAAUGGAUUUAAGACUAAUUUCUUUUAGCCUUUUAUCCUUCAGGGAGGCCAUUAAAGAGAGGAGAAAGUAUAUUUUGUACCUUGCUUCAUACUACCUUUGUUUUGGUUCAGCUUGCCUACAGUAGCAUCAUAUACAGGUGGGUCAGCCAAACAAACAUGAGGAAGGAUGGAACGCUCACUUAAAAAACAAGCAGACAAAAACCCCAAACCAAAACAAUUUUUUUGAUCUGAGAUACACGGCAUUCCUUUUCUCGUCACAGUCAGGACUGAUUUUGAAAUGUUUGUUGUUUGUAGAAACAGCAUAAAGAUCAUUAACAGUGAAAUUAAAGAAAUAUAUCUUUUUAUUAGAAGUCCUUUUUUAUUUUAUCGAGAAUUCUUAACCCCUUCAUUACAAGCAGUGUUUUUUUUUUUUUUAGAUCUCUCCCACCACUGUUUUUCUUCAUUGCACUUUUUUUUUAUUAUAUCAUUUCUUACAGCUCCCUUCUUUCAACUCUCUCUACACUUGUACUUUUCAUCUUACGGAGCCUGCGUCUUAUAGGAUUUGGACAUGUUGAUGGGUUCACCUCUUAGUAUAUUACACAGUUUGGUCUAUUCUAGAGAACUGUCACAGGUUUUUGCUCUAUUUCUGCUGCAGUGAAUUUUCCUUACUGUUCCUCUGUAAUUUGUAUGAAUGGUGCUACCAAAAUCACGAGAAUUUUUUGGACUGGAUUUCAGCCAUCCUUAAUAACUGAAAGCAUGCAGGCCUAGUGGCUGAAGAAAAAAUGGGCAUUAUUCUUUAAAAAUAUAAUCGUUUAAACAGUUUUAAAACAAAGCAAAACAACAGCCCCUUCUUCCUUCUCCCUCCAGAACAAAAAAUAUAUGUAUAUAUUAAAAAAAAACCAAACAAUGAACAACAAAACCGAACAACUGCAACAGAAAAGGAAGCUUGUUUAUAGAUAGGAAUAUUGCCACCUACAUGUAUGCAUUGCAAACAUGCACAAGAAAACCUCUGCAGUCAUGAACUAAUAUUUUUCCUACAGUUUGUCAAACUGACAUUACUGGAGAUGGGUCAUGCAAAGCAGUCUCUUUCAGAUGACAUUAUUUUUACACAGUAUGAAAGAACCUUAAUUCUGUUCUUAUUAUGCUUUAAGGAUUUUUAUGUGGAGCUCCACUGACUCUCAUGAGAUUUCAGCCAUAUAAAGUAAAUAUUAGGAAUAAGUAUGUAAGAGCACGGAGAAAGGUUUUCAAUAGUCAGGCUUCUGAGAUGUUGACAACAAUUGUUGUUGCAUGCUGCAUGACAACCUCAAAUUUUUUUAGCAACUGUGUCUUACUGAUUGAAUAAAGAGUGGUCAGUAACUCACGUGGAGGUUUCAUCACUAAGACUUCUUCCCCUAGCUUUCUACCAACUAGGUCUACUAUUAGACUAUUGUUAAAAUUUAUUGUUAAAAUUUAUUUAUUAAUUUAUCAGUUAAAUUUACUGCGAUAUAUGUAUAUACAUAUAUAUGUAUAUAUAUGUGUGUGUGUGUAUGUGCAUAUAUACAUAUAUAUAUUAAUGCCAUGAAUAUAUGUCAGAGUGUUUAUCAGACCUACUCAGAGGUUUUAAAUCAAUCAGAUCUGAUAUAAAAAAACAGUUAUUGCUCCUUUAAAUAUACCCACAAUGGUUUAUUUUUUGAAGUGACAGCAAUUGACCAUUUGCUGCACUGGGUUAAACAAAACUAUCUUAAGAUGCUGCCAAAUCAAGAUGAGAUACAUGCUUAUGUAGUAUAAGAAGAAAACUGGUUUUUGCUUACACACCAAGGCACAUUCUGAAGUUGAGACAAAGUAAAUCAGUGCAGACAAGUAGAAGGCUAAGGCAUACCUUACUGUGUCAAACUUACUGCCAUAAAAUGACAAAUAAUACAAAUAUCUCUGGUGCAACUUUGAAAUUAUUUAUGAUUAAUAAAAUUGUGAACAAUACAAGGGAAUAAACAUUGACCAAGUGAGAAUAGUUUCUAAGGGCAGACAUCUCCAUCUUCUCUGAGAAAUGCAAGUUUGGGGCACAAAGGUUUUUUUUUUUUUUUAAGUGAAGCCAGCUUUAUCCAAGUCAUCAGAGAGUAAAUAAUAGGUGCGUCAUGAAUAAACUGCACUUACUGUGCAAGUUUCUGGUAGAAUUCUUGGAUUGUUUGUCUAUGUCUAAUUUCAGUCUUUUUCUGCACCAUUUUCACUCCAUAGAUAUACUGCUUAUACUCAAAUAGCAGGAAAAGUCUUCAGAAUUCCUACUGGAAGAUGCAGCUACUGUUCAGAGCUCUUCCCUGUGCACAGCCAUGGAACGGAUGGUGAUUCCCCUCUCUUGCAGAUAGGUUCCAGUUUAUCCUGGCAUCCAUGUGGGUAAUCAUCUUUCAUGAUUUUGCUACUGAAAGUGUAAAUUCCACCAUAGAACAAUUUUAUUUUUUUUUAAGCAUGGUGACAGAUGGAUGUAGGAAAUUAUUUCACAACUUGUGACUACUUUAUCAUUUUUCAUGUCUCAUUUUAUCUAAAAUCCUUAGAAUAAUUAAUAAAAGAUAAUGGGAAGAAACACAUCAAAUCCGUCUGAGAGAUGGGGAGAAUUUGGGAAUACAUAUACUUGCCUGAUUGUGGAGUCAUAACAAUCUUAACAGAAAAAACACCAGAUUGCUUGUUAAAAUGGCUGGAAACAAAUGCAGAUUUAGUCAUCUAAGAAUUACGGUUGAGAUGAAACCAGAAAAGAUUGGAGGGUUUUUGGAAGCGGUUAAUUAACCUUUAGUUGUACGAUUUGGAUGGUUUUGAUUUUUACUUGUCCAAAAGAGAAUUAUUUCCAAAGAGAAGAAAAAAUGCCCCAUAUUUUUUAUUGCUGUGCUUAUGGAGGACCACUGUCUCACUAUGACUCUCACCAUGUUUUAGGAUAAUCUCAGGAAAGCAAUAAGCUACAUCAUAGCUUUAUUUGCUCAAAAGGGUCACUACAUACCCCUAUCACUCAUAUUCCCCUAAAAAAAUUGUAGCUGUAGUGCCGUUAUUUCUAUGUUCCUGGAGACAAAUGAACACUCAUAAACCAUCUGUCUUCUUCCCUUAUGGCUACUUGUUUAAGUCUGGAUUUUGAUAUAGCGACUAUCAAUACACUGGUUAAGCAUAAUGACCCCUUGGAUACAGAGGACACAGUGGUUAUCAGAAGGCCCUGUGCACAAUUGGUGGUUGGAUUUGGUUCCCCAAAUAUCUUAGGGCCCCUGCAGAUUGUAACUUCCCUGGUUAGCCUGCAGCCCUCCUGCCUGCAGGUUCCCUGCCAUGCACCACUUCCUUGUCUGCAUUUGACAUCUGCUGUAAUACAGUGCUACUGUGCAACAAGCAUUGGAAGUGACUCCUAUAAAAACUGAGUUGCUGUGAGCAGUAUCUGUCAGAAGCUUCACUGCGACUUCCACCCAAUGGAAACAUCAGUAAUCUUAAAUUACACUGUCAUAAGUAGCAAAGAUAUUAAAAUAGGAUGCACAUGUAACAAUCAAAGGGAAAAGAAACUCUGAAGCAAUUGAUAGAUACAAGAUAUUUCUGUAUCAUUUAAUUGGGACUUUCAGCUAUGUUAGGGUAACCAUAAGUAAGGCUAAAACCAAGCUUUUACAAUGAAUUUGCAUUUCUCUAGCAUGUACUUUUCAAAACUGAAAUUCUGCAUAAGGUGCUAGGAUAAUACUCUGCUAUGGAACACUGAAACAUGAAUGUGCAAAGUAAAUGGCCUAGGAUCUUUCAGCAGGUGAACUUUCAAAGUUUGUGAAGAUUAGCUACAAUGUAAAGGUAUUUAUAUAGCUCCUGCAAAGUACCUGAAAUCUGAGGUAUAACAUUUUCUUGUUAAAGCAAUAAUGCUGGGAAUUUACACUGACAAAUUGUGUUGAAUGUGGAUGAAAAUCUUCAGAGUGCUUUUGUUAAGCUGACUCUGGAGUGGGGAUAAAAACAUUGCCCCUGUAGGUCUCACAAAGCUCUUCAGAGAGACUAAAGAGUAACUGCUGCCAGUGAACAAUAGAGAGGUUGAUGCCAAGGGAAGUCAAAUGGUUUGCCUGCCCUAACAAAAGAAGGGUACAAAUGCAGGUCCUGUGCAUUCCUGUGCUGUUUACUGCACUGUACUGUCUUUUUAGAUGUAUGCAACAGCACAUUUGAUCACUGUUUCCAAGGGAAUUUGGAGAGUCUCAGAUUUAAAAACAUUUACCAACUACAAAGUUAAAAAAAGAAUAUGCAAUCUUAUCUAGUUAUAAGUGGCAUGUGCAAUUGCAUAAAAUGUUUAAAUAUUCUGACAACUAGAAAUAAUGAUGUCAUUUGUGUGCUUUCUUCUAAUCUGACCAGUUAAAUCUUUGGCUACUUCAUAUAUCAGAAAGAAACAUUUGCAAAACUUUACUGUCUCUUUUGCUUUAUCUUGGCUUUGAUUUUAUUUAUAUUGUUAUCUCAUUAAAAUGAAAUCAAGGAAUGAUCUUUUGAUCUCAUGUCAUAAUUCCUUUCUGAAACACACUGGAUGAUAAUAUGCUGUCUUGGAAAUGCGAUUUUAAUUGCUGUAGUGCUUUAUUUUCCUACUCUUUUCACUGGAAUAUCUAUGAGGUGAUUCAAUAAGCUAGCUUUUACCACUCAGCAAAAAUGAGAACUAAUAAGUUAAUGCGUCAAAUAAUUAAAGCUAUUAAGUACUUCAUGAGAGUUUUCACCAACAAUAUUUACUGCUACACACAGGCUAGCUCUAGGCAUCAGUGUGCAUUUAUCUUCGCGACAGGGCAGCCAUUAGUUGGGUAAUAGAUGGAUCGCAGAUGGAAAAUAGAUACUGGUCUUUCAGAAUGAUCCUUUUCAGGUGCACUAGUUUUGCUGCAAUACGCCACAGAGAUGUAACCAACAGCAUCAACUUAGCCAGUGUUUUAGUUAAUUUAGUUAUUAUCACAUAAUUCAGCAUAAAUGUCCAAAAGACACUUGUACCAAAACACACUACAAAAUUGCUGUCCUGGUUUAACUAUACUGCCUCCUAACAAAAUUUCUAAGGCCAUAACUAUUGAUUUGUCUUUCCAAAAGAGAUGUUUUGGUAAGUCUGCAAUUAGAAUUCAUGAUAUGUUAUGGAAGAUUGGCUGAUUUGAAGAUGGACAAACACACUGACCUACAUAUUUUACACAAUAAUAUUAUGCAGUUGUUACAAUUAAGUUAAUUAGAAGGUAACAGGGUUGUAAUAACAUUUUAUCAGCUAUACAGUUAGUGUCAGAAAAGUUGUUCGUAAUGUGAUAUGAACUAAAGAUAGCAUCUCUGAAUAUGAGUAUUGAUCAUACUUUGACAAAAUAUUAAGAGAAAUCAGAUACAAAAAAAAAUCCAGUUACGGGGCUCUUAAAAGAGCAAAACUGUUUCCUUCUGUACUCCACAGAGGGAAAGUUCUUGCAUAACUUUUGAUGUGCAAAGGUGCUAAAAUUUAAUUAUUAGUGAAGACUGAAGUAACCUGAGACCCUCAAGGAAUAGAUAACUGCAAAAUAUUAUUUCACUUAGAAUUACUUGCUUUAUUUUAUUUACAGCUAUUUUCUCCAAUUUUCAGAAGAUUGCCAAGUCAUAUUAGUGUUAAAAAAUAAGACAUCUACAUUGAUCUGGACAGAGGUUCAGUAUGUUCCUCUAUAAUCAGUGUGUUAUGUUUCUAUAGAUAUGUCAUAUCAAUACCUUCAACCUUCGUGAUACGAAAAAUGAUAGCACUACUCAAAAAGUUUUCCACUUACAUAUGAGUCUUAACAGCCAAAACUGACUUUUUUCCUCACACUCUUUUAGAGCCCUGCAGGUAGUAAUGUUACUAACUCAUACACUCUCCUUCAGUUUAGAUAUGGAAGUGUCACACACAAAAUGUUCAAUUUUUAUGAAAAUGUAUUUCUAAAAGGUUUAUUAUUUUUAUUUUUAAAGUAACAGUAUUUUUCUUUGAAGGAUUCUUAGAGAAAAUGGAAAUAGAGUUCUGCUAAAUAACUUUCAGAUAAAAAGUUGCAUUUCCUGACAAGGUUAUCUUUUCCAGUCUACUCUUUCCUGUCCCCAGACAUCCCCCCAUGCAGAACCCAACCUUACAGAAGCUGGAUGUGCAUAACUCCUAUCAUGUUUAUCCUUCUCUUUCGGCAGCUUUGGCAGAGACUGCAAUGGAAAUCUGCCUUCUUUGGUCACUGAUCUUCCCCAGGACUGCAUAUAUUCCUUUGCACUCCCUCCUGCGUGAGGAACCUGUGUUUGCAGCAUGCCUGUGUAAAGUGCUGGGUGGUAGAUACAUAGAUACAUGUGCAUGGUGUUGGAAGACAAGAAAAGGCUGUACUUCCAGGUUACUCCAUUUUCAUGAUGUUUGACAGAUUUUAAUGAGGCAGUACUAAGAGCAGUCUGAGACUUGAUUCCAACUGGCCAUAUUAUGCUCUAAAAGACCCAGGAUUUCAGCACAUGUAGUAAGCCAGCAUGCUUCCACUGAGGUUAAUGGAAUCAGCGUUUCUGAAUCAUCUGAGAAUCAGGUCUGAUAACAAUGUAAUUUUGUUUGUAAUUUUGCCUUACUUGUUAUUACACCUGUAAGUCAUACUUUGCCUUGAGUUGAAGCUGUGGGAUUCUGGAUUGGUUUAAGGAGAAUUAUUCUGCAUUUAAAUUUAGAGUAGUUUGAAGCAGACUGUUUCUUUGACAUCCAAAUCCCUAUACACACACAAUUUCUUCAUUCUGCAUAACAGUCAUGUAAAAUAGAUAUUGUGAAAGCAGUAUUUUGUGUAUAAAAAAACAAGGAAAAAAUGUUCCUUGGGGAUGGCAUUGUUCAGAACUUGGUACCUGUGAGUCAAUUCUCUGUGUUUUAUUUCCCUUUGGCUCUGAAGAGGCAGUGCACUUGCUAGCACCAGUCCUGGCACUAAAACUAGAACUAGAAGUCUGUGCAGCACCUGUGCUGAGGGGAAAUCCUGCUAUAUCCUGGCAAGAUAAAAGCAUUACAACUGCCACUGGUGGAAGGAUGUAAUAAGAUAGAUUGGAUUGUCUUACAGGCACACAGACAAAGGUGAAAUGGAAAACAGGGCUUUCCAGUUCUGAAUUUGUCAUAGUUCCCCAUGCAGAAUGUCAGUGUAUAGAUAUAGAAGGGCUAGCAGAUAUAUCCGCGUACAGAUAAGUAUAAAAACUUGCUAACUUUCAAGAGGAGAGACCAUUACAUUUAUAUAUUUAAUCAGUCUGGAAAGAAGAAUGUGAUGUAUUUUAAGAAAAUAAUGGUAACACAUCUUUUAUUGUCAAAUACUGAAACACAAACUUCCAAAAGCCAAUGUUAAUAUAAUUCACAGGAUCACAACUUCUGGUUUGACUUUCUUUUGAAAUUCAAUUUGCAUGAUGAUUUUGAUCAACUGCCUGGGGUUCUCACAUUUAUAUCAUGUGAUAAAAUGUAGACAAAAAAUAUAUAUUUAACUUAUACGAGAAAUCAAAUGCAUACUGUAACAGAAUAUGAAUUAUCUAGCAGGCUGCAGAGUGAUAAAAGGUCAGUACAGAUACAAGCACUGAGCACACUUUGAGCUUUUAAGAUAAGAAUGUAAUUGUAAUCUUCUCCUUGCCUUAAUAAAAAAUAUUUGAAAUAGGAAAAAAAAUAAAAGGGUAAAAUAAAAGCAACUAUUCAGAGAUCAAUGUAAGGCAUCUGGCUGAAAACUGAAGCAAGACAUUUUAAAACAAUUAUUGUCAAUAAAUACGCUGAAUUUAAUUUCUGGGUGCAAGCUAUGCUUGAUAACUCCAAAAUCCCUCUUUGCUCAUUAAUCAUAUGAAGGAAGAUAGUGAAUAAUAUCAUCUUUUUCUCCAUGGGAUGAUCAUGUCUUAGGCAAAUUAGAGUUCUGUUGCCAAGUUGGGAUUGCCAGAAGAGAAAAUUUUUCUUUGUUGGAUUGGAUAAAUACACAGCUGGCUUUGGAAUCAGUUGUAGUGAGAUUGAAAUUAAAAGGUUUAUUUUCAAACACUCUUAUAUGAACACAACAGAAUUUAGAUGCCUGACAUGACAUGGAGGAGAAAUAUGACAUAUGCAAUAUUAUGAACCUGCAUGCUUAGAAAAUCAAAAUGGUCCUGCAUGGUAUUUUCCCUUCAUCUGUUUUUUAGACUUGGUCAGUUCUGUGCAAAUUAUUCUACUUUUUGUUAUGGAUUCCUCUUAUCACUAGGAACCGGUCACUUUGGCCCAAAACAACUGUCAUUGCUGGUUACAUUUCUUUCUAGCUUUAGAGUUUUUUUUGUUCUGUUUCUACAUUGCUUUCUAAAGGAAAUGACUUAAUUGCUAUAAGACACAAAAAUUAAAUAUGGCUAUCCUGUUUCCAAUGUUUCUGAGAUUCUAAAAUUCUCUUCUGAAUUCAUUCUCCUCACUUAGAUCUCUGUAUGUGUGCAGGUGAGAAAACCAUUGGAGGUAUGUGGAAGAGUGGUGGAGGGCUGAGCCCUGGCUGCUUCCCCUACACUUUGCCUGCAGCGUGGAUGGGUCCAGAGGUAGACACGGAGGCACAGCUGCACCUCUGCCUUUUUUUUUUACUGAGGGCACAAACCAUCCUGUUCUAACCAGACCCUGGCUGACUGCUGUGUCUGUGCAGCAUAAACCCUGAACUCAGUAAGAUAACAGUUGUUAUCACAGUGCUUUUUAUCUGGGAGGCAAUGUCUUAAAUUGCAUCUGACCUCUGUAUGCACAGAGAAGCAAGUGAUGAGAGCUCUACCUAGAUCCUCAAAGGUUUUAGAUGAAAUCAGUAAGAGUGCAGUACCUAAACGAAUACUUCUGAGGAUAAUAGCUUCUGUGUCUUUCAUCCAUGUGUUGUACAAGGGAGACUCUGAACAGUAAUUUAUCAAAUGAUGUAUUGUGAGCCUUAGAACACAACAGGAUUUUCAGCACUCUUUUUCCCAAAUAGGUUCACUAAUGCUUGAUUCUAAGCCAUUUCAUUUACUACCACCAUCAUUAGAAUAAUUAAACUAGCUGCGAUAUAGAUUUAACUUUAUUUGUGGGUAAAGCUUCUGACUGUCCUAGGUCACUGAAGUUUAGCAACAAAGCUCCAUACAAAUAGAUUUUUGUAAUAGUACCAAUAGGCUACAUAUGACAAAAAGUAAACAAACUCAUAUUGGUGCGCUGUGUGUGUAUCCAUCUUAGCAUAUUUAUAUUUCUGUGCAGUGCAAGCUCAAGGUAAACCCAUAUGACCAUGUGCUACAAGUCCAGACAAAUAGUUCUUUUGUGCUCUGUUAAGGCAGAAGAAUGAGCUAUUAUUUUUUCUGUAUAUUGGGACCCACUUGUUUGCCAGCAAGUUGUUCAGAUUUCAAUGGGAAGAAAACCAAGCUAAAAUUGCCACACUGCAAAAUUAAAUGAAUUGGAAUUCUGUUCCUCCAUGAAAAGACUUGAAACGAGAUUUAAAUUUUGUGUCUGUUCCAUAAAAUUAACCACUGCAUCUGGUUUUUCUUCUGAAAUUGUUCAGGUAAGUUGAUGAAACUUGGGGGUUAUGUGACAGAAACACAAUCAGAUGGAGAUUUGUUCAGAAAAUUACAAUGCAGAGAGGGACACUUAAUUGGUUCUGUCAGCAAACAGAAAAGCACUAGCUUGCAUUUCCAGAAACUGUCUAAAACUUUUACAAAUAGUCUGACUCAGGUAAAAUCAGGCUAAUUAUAUGUUGGGCUCAAAAAAUACUCAUUAGAAGAACUUUAUUGGGGUUAUAAUGUCCAAAACAUAAAGACAGGAAACAGUGUGAUUAAUAAGCAAUUGGUUUGACAGCCUAUUUUAUCUAUUGCCAUAUUAAUUAUGUGACUGUACAACACAGUACACAGACCUUCAGCUCUAUUCAUUAUCUUAGCUACUCAAUAUCUUAUUUAAACCCACAGAUGAACACAAGUAUUUGCUAUGCUUUAUUCAAAUUAUACUGCAAAGAAUCAUAUUGAUUUUCUUGUGAAAAGGUGAAAAAAAAUCAUGAGAGGUCUCUAGAGUUUCUGGAAGUGAGUGUUCAAAACAGUUAUAACAAAAGAAACUGCUGAAACAGCACCUGCUGCUAACAAUGUGUACGCCAAAUUUCAGCUAUUAUUUUUAAGGACAUUUUUUUCAAUUCUAUUUUAAUAUUAUUGUUAAAUUUUGUGCAGUGUUCACUAAUUAUAACAUAUAAUAAGCCAGCACUUUGCAGUUGUAUUGCUCUGAGGCUUAGUUCUAAGGUGUGAAAGUAUGAUUAAGUUAAUCCAAGAGAUUGAAGUUUAGUAGGAAAAAAAAUGAACAUGCAGAGAAAUUACCUUUUGUCUUUUAGGAAGAAAUUAAAAGUUGGAUUUAAUAUGCUGAUAUGUUAGUACACAAAACGUUUUUCACAGAUAGCAAGACACACACAUUUAUAUAUUUCAGUGGGAACUCUUGCAAGAAUUAGCAAGAGCAAGGACACUGAAAGUGUACUAAAAUUAACGGAUGGCACAGCCAAUCUAUUGUCCUCAUCUGGGAGUCUCCAGAAAGGCUCAGGCGGUAUGACAUUCUGGCAGCCUGCAGAGGUUUUGCUCAUUUUCUGCUCUUAAGUAGCUGCACAUGAUAGCACACAGACGCAGAGGCAGCGAAGUUGCAGAAGAGGGGCAACU